rnacentral:rRNA from 1 species
CCUACGGGAGGCAGCAGUGGGGAAUAUUGCACAAUGGGGGAAACCCUGAUGCAGCGACGCCGCGUGAGUGAAGCAGUAUUUCGGUAUGUAAAGCUCUAUCAGCAGGGAAGAAAUAAAGUCCUUCGGACUUUGGACGGUACCUGACUAAGAAGCCCCGGCUAACUACGUGCCAGCAGCCGCGGUAAUACGUAGGGGGCAAGCGUUAUCCGGAUUUACUGGGUGUAAAGGGAGCGUAGACGGCAGCGCAAGUCUGGAGUGAAAUCCCAUGGCUUAACCAUGGAACUGCGUUGGAAACUGUGCGGCUGGAGUGCAGGAGAGGUAGGCGGAAUUCCUAGGGUAGCGGUGAAAUGCGUAGAUAUUAGGAGGAACACCAGUGGCGAAGGCGGCUUACUGGACUGUAACUGACGUUGAGGCUCGAAAGCGUGGGGAGCAAACAGGAUUAGAUACCCGAGUAGUC